GUCCACGCCGUAAACGAUGAAUACUAGGUGUGGGGGUUGUCAUGACCUCCGUGCCGCCGCUAACGCAUUAAGUAUUCCGCCUGGGGAGUACGGUCGCAAGAUUAAAACUCAAAGGAAUUGACGGGGGCCCGCACAAGCAGCGGAGCAUGUGGUUUAAUUCGAAGCAACGCGAAGAACCUUACCUAGACUUGACAUCUCCUGAAUUACUCUUAAUCGAGGAAGUCACGUUUGUGACAGGAAGACAGGUGGUGCAUGGUUGUCGU
rnacentral:rRNA from 1 species